rnacentral:misc_RNA from 1 species
UCUCCGUUGGUGAACCAGCGGAGGGAUCAUUACCGAAGUUACCUUCAAAACCCACUGUGAACCUUACCUCUUGCCGCGUUGUCUCGGCGGGAGGCGGUGUGCGUCGCGCGCCCUAGCGGGCCGCGCCGCUCCCGUCCCCGCCGGCAGCGCCAAACUCUAAAUGCACAGCGGACUGUACGUUCUGAUUUACAAAAAAAACAAGUUAAAACCUUCAACAACGGAUCUCUUGGUUCUG